CCCUUUGAUGUUCUGGGCCGCACGCGCGCUACACUGACGAAGUCAGCGAGCAUGUCCUACGCCGACAGGUGCGGGGAAUCUUGUCAAACUUCGUCGUGAUGGGGAUUGAUUAUUGAAAUUCUUGAUCAUCAACGAGGAAUUCCUAGUAAGCGCAAGUCAGCAGCUUGCGUUGAUUACGUCCCUGCCCUUUGUACACACCGCCCGUCGCUACUACCGAUUGAAUGGUUUAGUGAGAUCUUCGGAUUGGCGCCACUGCGGCUCAGCAAUGGGCUCGGUGGAUGCCGAAAAGUUGAUCAAACUUGAUCAUUUAGAGGAAGUAAAAGUCGUAACA
rnacentral:rRNA from 1 species